GACGAACGCUGGCGGCGUGCCUAAUACAUGCAAGUCGACCUUAGGUGCGAACGGGUGUGUAACACGUGGGUAACCUGCCCAUCAGAAGGGGACAAAACUUGGAAAUAGGUUCUCAUACCUUCUACUUGUGGAUGGACCCUCGGUUUAUUUGCUAGUUGGUGAGGUAACGGCUCAACAAGGCCACAAUGCAUAGCCGGCCUGAGAGGGUGAUCGGCGACAGUGGGACUGAGACACGGCCCAAACGCCUACGGGAGGCAGCAGUAGGGCAUCGUCGGCAAUGGACGAAAGUCUGACCGAGCAACGCCGCGUGAGUGAAGAAGGGUUUCGGGUCGUAAAACUCUGUUGUUAGAGAAGCGGUAUCUAAACAGAAAGCCACGGCUAACUACGUGCCAGCAGCCGCGGUAAUAC
rnacentral:rRNA from 1 species